ACGGCUACCACAUCUACGGAAGGCAGCAGGCGCGAAAAUUGCCCAAUCCUGAUUCAGGGAGGCAGUGACAAGAAAUAACAACUUUCAACUUUGUUGAAAAGUGUAAUGAGGAUAAUUUACAAACCUUACCGAAAGCAAUUGGAGGGCAAGUCUGGUGCCAGCAGCCGCGGUAAUUCCAGCUCCAAAAGCGUAUAUUAAAGUUGUUGCAGUUAAAAAGCUCGUAGUUGAAGUUCUGGCUGUAUUGGGCCUUAGCACUUGAUGCGGAGGAACCAGCAGUCAUCCGCUUGCAAAUACAUGUCCUUCCUUAACCGGUAGGCUGUAUAAGUAAGCACUUUACCUUGAGAAAAACAGAGUGUUCCAGGCAGGUUUGUCCGGAAUGCGUUAGCAUGGAAUAAUAGAAUAUGACUGAAGUCGAUUUAUUGUUUAAGGCUUUAGUAAUGAUUAAUAGGAACAAUCGGGGGCAUUGGUACUUGUCAGUCAGAGGUGAAAUUCUAGGAUUUGACAAAGACUAACUGAUGCGAAAGCGUUUGCCAAGAAUGUUUUCAUUAAUCAAGAACGAAAGUUAGGGGAUCAAAGACGAUCAGAUACCGUCCUAGUCUUAACUAUAAACUAUACCGACUCGGAUUUAGAUGAAUUUUAAAGUUCAUUUGGGACCGUAGGAGAAGUCAAAGUCUUUGGGUUCUGGGGGGAGUAUGGUCGCAAGGCUGAAACUUAAAGGAAUUGACGGUUUUGCACCACCAUGGAGUGGAGCCUGCGGCUUAAUUUGACCCAACACUGGGAAACUCAUCAGGGCAAGAAGAUUUUAGGAUUGACAGAUUGAGAGUUCUUUCUUGAUUGGUCUAGUGGUGGUGCAUGGCCGUUCUUAGUUGGUGGAGUGAUUUGUCUGGUUAACUCCGUUAACGAACGAGACCUUAACCUGCUAACUAGUACUUUGAUUUUCAAUCGGAGUUACUUCUUAGAGGGACUAUGUGAGUAAUCACAUGGAAGUUUGAGGCAAUAACAGGUCUGUGAUGCCCUUAGAUGUCCUGAGCUGCACGCGCGCUACAAUGACACAUUCAGCGAGUAUUUCCUGACCCGAAAGGGCUCGGGUAAUCUUUUCAGUGUGUGUCGUGAUAGGGAUAGAUCUUUGUAAUUAUGGAUCUUGAACGAGGAAUUCCUAGUAAGCGCACGUCAUCAGCGUGUGCUGAUUACGUCCCUGCAAAAUGUACACACCGCCCGUCGCUAUUACCGAUUGGGUGUAUAGGCGAACCUUCUCGAUAGCCGCAAGGCUAGACAUUAAGUAAACCUUUGCACCUAGAGGAAAUAAAAGUCGUAACAAGGUU
rnacentral:rRNA from 1 species